rnacentral:misc_RNA from 1 species
GUACUAUCCAUAUGGUAGUCGGGGCCCUGUUGGGGCUCACUAUCUUGCGGCAAGAUACAAUGUCAAAUGGGGGGACCUUGGCGCGGAACAGUAAUUCUGGGAAUGUCGUUUUACGUUGCAAAAGUGGUAGGAUAGGGAGAGCAAAGAGAUUCAUAUUUCGUUUAUGUUUUUUUAGGAUGGUUAGAUAGCAAACUCCCAUCUACGAACUCCAUGGGAGGUCAGCAGCUGCAAGCUGUGAUGUAAACUAGAGAAAUGUAUCAAGGAACAUUAGAGAUUAUCCUUUCCACUUUUUAAGUUGGUAAAUUACAAGAGAUGCGCUCAAAUUUUGGUUUGGCA